CGCGUAGGAAUCUACCCAGUAGUGGGGGACAACCUGGUGAAAACCAGGCUAAUACCGCAUACGCCCUAAGGGGGAAAGGCCGGGAUCUUCGGACCGGUCACUAUUGGAUGAGCCUGCGUAAGAUUAGCCAGUUGGUGGGGUAAAGGCCUACCAAGGCGACGAUCUUUAGCUGGUCUGAGAGGAUGAUCAGUCACACUGGAACUGAGACACGGUCCAGACUCCUACGGGAGGCAGCAGUGGGGAAUAUUGCGCAAUGGGCGAAAGCCUGACGCAGCCAUGCCGCGUGUGUGAAGAAGGCCC
rnacentral:rRNA from 1 species